rnacentral:sRNA from 1 species
UCCUAGCCCUGAUGGAAACGGCAUCCUUUUGUGGCGGGGUUCGCCAUAAAAGAUACAGUGUACAGCAGGAAACAGC